rnacentral:rRNA from 1 species
AACGAACGCUGGCGGCGCGUCUUAAGCAUGCAAGUCGAACGGCAAGAGAGGAGCUUGCUUCUCUCCUAGAGUGGCGGACUGGUGAGGAACACGUGGGUAAUCUACCCUUAAGAUGGGGAUAGCUGCUAGAAAUAGCAGGUAAUACCGAAUACACUCGGCAUAUCACAAGAGGUGUUGAGGAAAGGAAGCUACGGCUUCGCUUGAGGAUGAGCUUGCGUCCCAUUAGCUAGUUGGUGAGGUAAAGGCCCACCAAGGCGACGAUGGGUAUCCGGCCUGAGAGGGUGAACGGACACAUUGGGACUGAGAUACGGCCCAAACUCCUACGGGAGGCAGCAGCUAAGAAUAUUCCGCAAUGGACGGAAGUCUGACGGAGCGACGCCGCGUGGAUGAGGAAGGCUGAAAAGUUGUAAAAUCCUUUUGUUGAUGAAGAAUAAGGGUGAGAGGGAAUGCUCAUCUGAUGACGGUAAUCGACGAAUAAGCCCCGGCUAAUUACGUG